GCCUAGAAGAUCAAAACAACACACAGUAACUUUCACAGGAGCACAGCCCACAGCCAACCCUAGGCAUCUCCCCCUGCACCUCCUCCAGUCUCCUUUCCAAGCCUGCAGCCCAGCCUGGCCUUGCCCCACACCUGUCCCUCUGGGCAGGAGACAAAAGGUACCACAAAUUCCUGAACCUUUUCAAGAUUCUGCAGUGAAAAUAAAGUUGGUUCUCAACUGUCGACAAAACAGUAAUCAAUAGUCCGUCUAAGAAACAAAUGUCAAGAGGGAGGGAACAUGUGUAUACCUAAUGUGAAUUCAUGUUGAUGUAUGGCAAAAACCACUACAAUAUGGAUAGAAUUCAGGUUCUUUACUUAGCAGGACAAAGAAGUUUCAGUAAGAGCCAGUCCCAGCCUUCUUCAAACCUCACUUCCCACCACUGCGUCACACCAUGUACCUUACCUUCCAGCAGGACCAAACAUGCCUGUGCUCUCAGACCGCCAAGCCCUUUCUUGGGCAGUGCAGCCUUCUUUGCCUGGAAUGGCCUCUCUACACCUUCAGCAAUGGGAGCACACCCAUACACUACCUGCUCUUAUU